UACAGAGGGGGCAAGCGUUGUUCGUAAUUACUGGGCGUAAAGGGCGCGUAGGCGGCCUUCUAAGUCGAACCUGAAAUCCCUGGGCUCAACCCAGGAACUGCGUCCGAUACUGGGAGGCUUGAAUCCGGGAGAGGGAUGUGGAAUUCCAGGUGUAGCGGUGAAAUGCGUAGAUAUCUGGAGGAACACCGGUGGCGAAGGCGGCAUCCUGGACCGGUAUUGACGCUGAUGCGCGAAAGCCAGGGGAGCAAACGGG
rnacentral:rRNA from 1 species